GAAUGAUAACACGCGUCUGAGUGGCCGAAGGGGGAGUACUGCCCAGGACUUGCCAUGAUGUGGGGGACAAACAUUGGAAACCAUGGCUAAUACCGCAUGAUGCCUUCGGGCCAAAGAGGGGGACCUUCGGGCCUCUCGCGUCAGGAUAUGCCUAGGUGGGAUUAGCUAGUUGGUGAGGUAAGGGCUCACCAAGGCGACGAUCCCUAGCUGGUCUGAGAGAAUGAUCAGCCACACUGGAACUGAGACACGGUCCAGACUCCUACGGGAGGCAGCAGUGGGGAAUAUUGCACAAUGGGCGCAAGCCUGAUGCAGCCAUGCCGCGUGUGUGAAGAAGGCCUUCGGGUUGUAAAGCACUUUCAGUCGUGAGGAAGGUGGUGUAGUUAAUAGCUGCAUUAUUUGACGUUAGCGACAGAAGAAGCACCGGCUAACUCCGUGCAAGCACGCGCGGUAAUAA
rnacentral:rRNA from 1 species